rnacentral:rRNA from 1 species
AUACGUAGGGGGCAAGCGUUGUCCGGAAUUACUGGGCGUAAAGCGCACGCAGGCUGACUUAUAAGUCGGUAGUCUAAUGCGGAGGCUCAACUUCCGUUUAUCUAUCGAUACUGUAAGACUAGAGUAUGUGAGAGGGAAGUGGAAUUCCCGGUGUAGCGGUGAAGUGCGUAGAUAUCGGGAGGAACACCAGUGGCGAAGGCGACUUCCUGGCACAAUACUGACGCUCAUGUGCGAAAGCUAGGGUAGCGAACGGGAUUAGAUACCCCGGUAGCCCUAGCCGUAAACGAUGGAUACUAGGUGUGGGUGUCGCAGGGCAUCCGUGCCGCAGCUAACGCGUUAAGUAUCCCGCCUGGGGACUACGGUCGCAAGACUGAAACUUAAAGGAAUUGACGGGG